rnacentral:lncRNA from 1 species
CAUGUUUUACAUUUUAAAAGCACUGUUUCCUUUUUAACAUCACCCUGUGGACUGGAUAAGACAUAGCCAGUCACGUGUGAAGGAAACGUGCUCAUCUGAGUUAAGCAUCCAGCCCUCAGUUUGGGAGCCUAACAGGUGGACUCAAUGCUGGGCCCUGAGCUGCGUCUUGUGGCUCUAAUUUACUCUCCAAUUUAUCCAAUGUGCCCGGGGCACGAUCUUUCAGGGCUGGCAAGCCAUGCCCUCUUGACACUGUGGCUGUCACGGGGCCGAGGAGGAGAAAUCAAUUUUCAUCCAGAAGCUUUUUCAUGCUGGGAGUCACGCAGGGAGUGCCCUUGAUGACUGAGUCAGGGUUUCAGGCAAACAACCUUGUGUGUUUGUGAAUCAAACAUCAGUCCACCCCAGAGACCGGCGCUGGUUGUAAAUUCUUUGGACAUGAUGGAACGCUUUCGGGCUUCCCCUGGAGGGGGUCUGAGCUGUGUCUAGGGCAGAUCUUCUCAGCACUGGUUUGUCCCCCAAAUCAAAGAAAAAUCACUGAAGGUGGUUCUGGACAUUCGUAUCCUGUAUCCUUCCUUUGGCGUGUCUAGUGGACCGCAGGGUCACAGGCACUUGGUUUUGGAGAAGCCUGUCUCCAAGACAUGGGACAUCUCUCCUUCCUCUCAUGCCCAUGACAGUGACCUGGGGCCCCACUGCCUCAGUCACCGGCUGCCCCUCGAGAGGGUUCAGAAUGCCAAGGCCAUCCAGGAUGAAGAGGUCAGAUUUUGCCAGGAACGUUAAGCCUCCCUCUGGUAGACACUGUCAUGUAUUGGUAGUAACUUCCUGUUUUCAGAUGCAAGUGGCCAGCCUUCUCGAAUAGUCAUUCUGUAGAGCUGGCCAGCCAAGUUCCGAAAAACAUCACAUUCUGCCUACGUGAGAUGAUCAUGGCAGGGAGCCCUUGGGGACCCCCAGUGGCAGUUCAGGGUCUGGAAGGGGCCGGCCUUGGGACCUCUGCUCAGUAACUCUCCUCUGAAAGCAGGAAUGCAAAAGCUAUUAUUGGGAAUUUCAAGAAAUGUCAGACAGAGGGAGUUUCCCUGGUGUAUCAGAGAUUCCUGGGAGACUUCAAGGAUGCUCUUGUUACACCUGAUGUCCAACCAAGGCCAGGACAUUUUCUGACCUUCCAUCCUUCCACACAGCUCCAGAAAGGGAUUCUCUCAGGAGGUGGGCAGAGGGUCAGGGAUGCUCCUGGUAUCAGUUAGAGAGAGUGGACUGGGGCCCUUUCCUGGGAUGAGAAGGAGGUCCCCAAACAGCCUUGGGCUUACAGCUAAUAAUAAUAAUAGUAGUAGCUGGCGUUCUGGGCAUAUGCCAUGUGUCAGCUGAUCUGUGUGCUUGUGGCAUGACCUCAACAAAUCCCAGGGCCUCUUGACCUCAAAAGUAGUCAGGGAGCCCCUCCGUGGAGAGUGUGCUCAUUCUGCUCAGGGGGACAAGGGGGCCUCGGGCAGCCCAGUGGUUAAAGUCUGGGCUCUAAAAUCAGGCAGUCCUGGUUCCAGGGGUAGCUCAGACACGUAGGAGCUGGGUGACCUUGUAAACUUUACCUGCUCUCUCUGAGCCUUGGCUUCGCAUCUGUGACAUGGGUAGGAGCAGGUUGCUGUCAUGAUUAAAUGACACUAUUUGUUUUGGGUGCCUGGUACAGGUGAGUAAAGAGAAAUGGAGAAACAGCUGGCGCGGUUAGUAGGUUCAUCGCUAGUGCGCGUAGUAGCUAAUCCGGUUAUCAUGCCUCAUUUAAGUGUGGUUCUAGGUGAACCUCAUGAUUUUUGUUCAGGUGGCGUUUAUGUGGUUUCUGCAGAAGUUGAGCUGUCUGAAGAGCAUAUUGGGUCAUCCUGACACUUGUCUUUUGAUGCCCAUGCAGGGUGGAUGAGAAGAUUGGUCAGCUGCCAGAAGAACUCUCUGUGUGUCUGUGUGUUUCUUUUCUCUUAACAGGGCUGAAUGAGUCAAAGUUACUAUUACUGUAUUUUUAAGUUUUUCUUCUUCUUUUUUUUUUCCCAGAAAGGGGAUGUUCGGGCUGAAGCUGAAGAAGAAGAAGAAGAAAGCAGAGAAGGGGUUAAUCCUAGCCAACAAGGGGGCCCAAGUCCCUGGUGCGGGCCAAGGCCACCCCCCCACUUCCAGUGCCACUGGUCCUCUGGUCACUGGACCAAACAGGGUGGGUGGAUACCUGCUGGGCUGUGGAAGGGGGUCCCCAAGGAGGCAGUGAUGGGAUCGGAGCUCCUGCCUCUGCUCUGAUGUGCUCUGUGGCUCAGGACAAGUCACUCAGCCGCUGCAAGUCCUAGCUUCUCCCUUUGUUAGGAAGGUGGGAUGUGGGUGGCUGGGCUGACCGCACAGGGUCUUGGGUAGAAUCAGGUGAGAUUUUGAAAAUCAGAGGGAGGGUAGCAGCUGCUCUGGGGGGGGGCUUUACCUACACUGUCUCACUUAACCCCUCUGUCAUCCUGCCAGGCCGGGCUAUUAUCCUGCUUUCACAAAUGAGGUUACCGAGAUGCAGAGAGGAUAAGCCAAGCAUGGGAUAGACCAGCUGCAGAAUAGCCCAGCCCAUGCGAAAUGAAAGCGCAAAGCCGUUAGUAAGAACUGAUGAAGGAUGGAAUUCCCAUCAUGGCACAGCGGAAACGAAUCUGACUAGGAACCGUGAGGUGGUGGGUUCGAUCCCUGGCCUCGCUCAGUGGGUUACAGACCUGGCAUUGCCAUGAGCUGUGAUGUGGGUCACAGAUGUGACUUGGAUCUGGCGUUGCUGUGGCUGUGGUGUAGUCUGGCAGCUGCAGCUCUGAUUUGACCCCUAGCCUGGGAACUUCCCUAUGCCGUGGGUG